rfam:Ictidomys tridecemlineatus contig087068, whole genome shotgun sequence.
GAGCUCAUUUCAGUAGCACAUAUACUAAAAUUGGACUAAUACAAAGAAGAUUUGCACGGCCUCUUAACAAGGAUGACACACAAAUUCGUGUGGAAUUCCAUACUUUU